ACGCUGGCGGCAGGCUUAACACAUGCAAGUCGAACGGGCGUAGCAAUACGUCAGUGGCAGACGGGUGAGUAACACGUGGGAACCUUCCUAGGGGUACGGAACAACUCAGGGAAACUUGAGCUAAUACCGUAUACGUCCGUGAGGAGAAAGAUUUAUCGCCCUUAGACGGGCCCGCGUCGGAUUAGCUAGUUGGUGGGGUAACGGCCUACCAAGGCGACGAUCCGUAGCUGAUCUGAGAGGAUGAUCAGCCACACUGGGACUGAGACACGGCCCAGACUCCUACGGGAGGCAGCAGUGGGGAAUCUUGGACGAAUGGGCGCAAGCCUGAUCCAGCCAUGCCGCGUGAGUGAAGAAGGCCUUCGGGUUGUAAAGCUCUUUUGUCAGGGACGAUAAUGACGGUACCUGAAGAAUAAGCCCGGCAAACUUCGUG
rnacentral:rRNA from 1 species